UCGUUUUCUUCCACCGAGCGUGCAGCUUUGGGAGAGAUGCACAUGGAGCGGUGAGGGAGGAAGGGGACACCCGCCUAGCCAGCCAGAUCAGCCGAAUCAACCCUGGCGAACAAUGGGGUGACAGAUGUCACAGCCAGAUCGCCCUCAUAUCCUUUGAAUGUUUUCCAGACUAUUUUCUCUGGCCCCACUAACAGACUUUCGGACUGCUUGUCAUUGAUGAUAUAUUUGAUGUGUGGAUAAACAAAAAUGCCUUCUUUAAUCUUGGCAUCAAUUAUUCUUGGAAACAGCUGUCUCAAACAAUGAAAACCUUCACCUUCCAUGUUCAUCACUUUCACAAAAGUUUUCACCAAGUUUUAUGUGAAACAGAAGCAAAAAUAUCUUUGUAGGCUCAAUAAGUGGUUCAUGUGCCAUGCUUUUCUGUCCUGAAACAAAUUCUUUUAGCAUGGCCAUUUUUCUUAAUGUAACGUGAAUCUCUUUCAACAUGUAACACCUCAUUCACACAUGUAACAUGUAACACCUUAUUCACACAUGUAACAACAGUAUAUCUGAGCUGCAUUUCAAACUACAGAACCAAUACUUUUAGAUCUCUACAGAUAUUCCAGUUGCAUUUGAUGGACAGGACAACAACAGUUACAUGUUUUUGUGUUUCUUUCAUGGGUUCAGAUAUCCAAUAGGUACUGGAGUGUACACUGAAAAAAAGAAAAUUUCUAAAAACUGAAUGUUUGAAAGGAAACUACAGCCACCUAUCUCCACAACCUCCAUCUCAGACACACCAACAACAGCCAAGCCUCCUACAACUGACCCCAUCCCAUUGGGUUCACAACCCCUAGUGAUCACAGAAAAGGAAGUGCAAGACCUAUUUCAAGACAAAAGCCAGAAAAAGCUCCAGGCCCAGACAAGAUAACUCCUUCUUGCUUAAAAGUCUGUGCUGACCAAUUGGCCCCCAUCUUCACCCGAAUCUUCAAUUACUCACUAGAGAUGUGCUAUGUUCCUUCUUGCUUCAGAUGCUCUACUAUCAUCCCAGUGCCGAAGAAGCCCACCAUCAAGGAACUGAAUGACUACAGACCAGUUGCUCUAACAUCUGAAGUCAUGAAAACCUUUGAAAGGCUAGUGCUGUCCCACUUCAAAAUCAUCAUGGAUCCGCUGUUAGACCCCUUGCAAUUUGCAUACCGAGCAAGUAGAUCAACAGAUGAUGCUGUUAAUAUGGCUCUGCACUACAUCCCACAACAUCCUGAAUCUCCAAAGACUCCUCUUUGUAGACUUUAGUUCAGCAUUCAAUAUCAUCAUUCCAGACACUCUUCUAACUAAGCUAAACCAGUUACAGGUACCUGAACACACAUGUAAGUGGAUCAUAAGCUUCCUAACAAACAGGAAGCAGCAGGUGAAGCUAAGCAGAAUCACAUCAGAUACCUGUACAAUUAGCAUAGGGUCUCCCAAGGCUGUGAGCUCUCCCGCUUCUCUUCUCUCUGUAUACCAAUAACUGCAACUCUAACGAUUCAUCUGUUAAACUACUGAAGUUCACAGAUGACACAACAGUAAUCGGUCUCAUUCGAACAAUGAUGCCUCGUGAUGGGACCAGAACAAUCUGGAACUGAACACACUCAAAACCAUAGAAAUGGUGGUAGACUUUAGGAGAAACCCUUCCAUACUUCCACCUCUCACAAUACUAGACAACACAGUAUCAACAGUAGAGAUACUGUGGUAGAAAUUUCUACCAUAUCACAAGAUCAAAAAUGGACAGCUAACAUCAAAAAUGUCAUAAAAAAGCACAACAAAGAAUGUUCUUUCUGCGCCAACUCAGAAAGCUCAAACUGCCCAAGGAGCUGCUGAUCCAGUUCUAUAGAGAAAUUAUUGAGUCUGUCAUCUACACCUCUAUAACUGUCUGGUUUGGUUCUGCAACCCAACAAGACAGAUUCAGACUUCAGAGGAUAAUUAGAACUGCAGAAAAAACAAUUGCUACCAACCUGCCUUCCAUUGAGGACCUGUAUACUGCACGAGUCAAAAAGAGGGCUGUGAAAAUAUUUACAUCGCAUCCUGGACAUAAACUGUUUCAACUCCUACCCUCAAAAUGACGCUAUAGAGUACUGCACACCAGAACAAUUAGACACAAGAACAUUUUUUCCCAAACACCAUCACUCUGCUAAACCAAUAAUUCCCUCAACACUGUCAAACUAUUUACUAAGUCUGCACUACUAUUAAUCUUCUCAUCUUCUCAUCAUUCCCAUCACCCAUCUCCUCCCACUUAUGACUAUAAGACUGUAACCUUGUUGCUGGUAUCCUUACGAUUUAUAUUGAUAUUGUUUCCUGAUUGGUUAUUUGUAACCUAUGAGUAUCAUUAAGUGUUGUACCUUAUGAUUCUUGAUGAACAUAUCUUUUCUUUUAAGUACACUGAAAUCAUAUGCACCAAGACAAAUUCCUUGUGUGUCCAAUCACACUUGGCCAAUAAAAAUUCUAUUCUAUUUUA